UCCCUGGCAGUCCAGUGGUUAGGCCUCUGUGCUUCCGCUGCAGAGGGGCACAGGUUCAACUCCUGGUCAGGGAA
rnacentral:tRNA from 1 species